AAGUCGUAACAAGGUUUCCGUAGGUGAACCUGCGGAAGGAUCAUUACAAAUCAGUGGGGUGGAGGAAGGGAGAGGUUAGUGGAGCUUAGGCUAGCUGACCCAGCCCAACACCUACCCCAACAUUGGCACAGAGCCGCAAGGCUCUGAUGUUUACGCUUGUUUGUUUGACAGAUUUAUGUAACAGAGAAUAUAGACAACUUUUAACAAUGGAUCUCUUGGCUCUU
rnacentral:misc_RNA from 1 species